GAUGAACGCUGGCGGCGUGCCUAAUACAUGCAAGUCGAGCGAAUGGAUUAAGAGCUUGCUCUUAUGAAGUUAGCGGCGGACGGGUGAGCAACACGUGGGUAACCUGCCCAUAAGACUGGGAUAACUCCGGGAAACCGGGGCUAAUACCGGAUAACAUUUUGAACCGCAUGGUUCGAAAUUGAAAGGCGGCUUCGGCUGUCACUUAUGCAUGUACCCGCGUCGCAUUAGCUAGUUGGUGAGGUAACGGCUCACCAAGGCAACGAUGCGUAGCCGACCUGAGAGGGUGAUCGGCCACACUGGGACUGAGACACGGCCCAGACUCCUACGGGAGGCAGCAGUAGGGAAUCUUCCGCAAUGGACGAAAGUCUGACGGAGCAACGCCGCGUGAGUGAUGAAGGCUUUCGGGUCGUAAAACUCUGUUGUUAGGGAAGAACAAGUGCUAGUUGAGUAAGCUGGCACCUUGACGGUACCUAACCAGAAAGCCACGGCUAACUACGUGCCAGCCGCCGCAGUAA
rnacentral:rRNA from 1 species